rnacentral:lncRNA from 1 species
GUGGUGACAUGUAGCAAUUAGUUAAAACAAUGGAUAUACGUGCAUUCUUUGACCAUCAAUCUCCAGGUUGGUCAAAGCAUGUCAAAACAUGUCAAUUAGAGACAACUUAAUAGAUAUUCAUCCCUGUAUCUUUUGAUUUAAGACUAUAAUGGUCAAAUUAAUAGAAACCUUGACACCUUAUAUUCUGUAUAUAUACUUGUGUAUUUGAUUGUAUGAAUUACACCGGCUCAGGCAGGC